rnacentral:rRNA from 1 species
AUGAACGCUUGGCGGCGUGCCUAAUAACAUGCAAGUCGAGCUGGUAACACUUCGGGUGACGAGCGGCGGGACGCUGAGUAAACACGUAGGAAACCUACCCCAGACUGAAGGGAUAAGCACCAGAAAUGGUGUCUAAUACCGCAUAAACCUCUUCGGAGAAAAAGCUUCGGGCGGUGUUUGGGAAGGGGCCUGCGUCCGAUUAGCUAGUUGGCGGGGGGGUAAAUGCCCACCAAGGCGACGAUCGGUAGCUGGUCUGAAUGAGGAUGAUCAGCCAGACUGGGACUGAGAAACGGCCCCAGACUCCUACGGGAGGCAGCAGUAGGGAAUUUUCCACAAAUGGACGAAAGUCUGAUGGAAGCAACGCCGCGUGCCAGGAUGAAUGCCUUCGGGUUGUAAACUGCUUUUUAUGUGUGACGAUUUAUGACGGUUAGCACAUGAAUAAGGAUCGGGCUAACUCCGUGCCAGCAGCCGGCGGUCAUACGGAGGAUCCAAGCGUUUAUCCCGGAAUUACUGGGCGUAAAGAGUUGCCGUAGGGUGGCAUUGUAAGCGAGUAGUGAAAGCGUUCGGCUCAACCGAAUACACAUUACUCGAACUGCAAAGCUUGAGGACGAGAGAGGCAUCUGGAAUUCCUAGUGUAGGAGUGAAAUCCGUAAGAUAUUAGGAGGAAACACCGAAUGGCGUAGGCGAGGGUGCUGGCUCGUUCCUGACACUGAGGCACGAAAGCGUGGGGGGAGCAAACGGGAUUAGAUACCCCCGGUAGUCCACGGCCGUAAAACUAUGGAUGCUAGCUGUAUUCGGUAUCGACCCCGGAUGUAAGCGAAGCUAACGCGUUAAGCAUCCCGCCUGUGGAGUACGAGCGCAAGCUUAAAACAUAAAGGAAAUUGACGGGGAACCCGCACCAAAGCGGUGGAGCGUGUUGGUUUUAAUUCGAUGGUAAAACGAAGAACCUUACCCAGGGCUUGACAUCCUAGGAAGGUCUACGAAAGUAGACUGUGGCCUUGUGAGCCUUAGUGACAGGUGAUGCAUGGCCGUCGUCAGCCUCGUGUUCGUGAGAUGUUUGGUUAAGUCCAUCAACGAGCGCCACACCCUAUGUUUAGUUGAAUUUCUCUAAAAACAGACUGCCCUGGUAACAGGGAGGAAGGGGGGGGAUGAUGUCAGGUCAGAUAAUUUCCCUUACGUCUGGGGCUACAAACACGCUACAAUGGCCGGUACAAAAGGGCCAGCCCAAGUCGCGAGAACGGAAGCAAAUCCCAUCAAAGCCGGUCUCAGUUUCGGAUUAGCAGGCCUUGAAACUCGCCUGCUUGAAAGCCGGAAUCGCUAGUAACGGUAGGUCAGCUAUACUACCGUGAAUACGUUCCCGGGUCUUGUACACACCGCCCGUCAAACCAUGAAAAGUCGCCCAAUACCUGAACGUGUUGCCUUCGGCGCAGCCCUAAGGUAGGGGAGAUGAUUGGGGUU